AGACACCACAAUACUACAUAAAGAGAGACCUAAGACAGCUUAGCAUGGCAGCAACACAUGAAAACACAGCAUGGUAGCAACACAAAACAUGGUACAAACAUUAUUGGGCACAGACAACAACACAAAGGGCAAGAAGGUAGAGAGAACAAUACAUCAUGCGAAGCAGCCACAACUGUCAGUAAAAGUGUCCAUGAUUGAGUCUUUGAGUGAAGAGAUGGAGAUUAAACGGUCCAGUUUGAGUGUUUGUUUUUUCUAGCUCGUUCCAGUCGCUUGCUGCAGCGAACUGAAAAGAGGAGUGACCCAGGGAUGUGUGUGCUUUGGGAACCUUCAACAGAAUGUGAGUGGCGGAACGGGUGUUGUUGUGGAAGAUGAGGGCUGCAGUAAGUAUCUCAGAUAGGGGGGAGUAAGGCCUAAGAGGGUUCCCAGUGCGUCCUGUGUGUGGGCAGGUUCUAAAGGAGUAGUUGGGCAGGUUCUAAAGGAGUGGUUGGGCAGGUUCUAAAGGAGUGGUUGGGCAGGUUCUGAAGGAGUGGUUGGGCAGGUUCUGAAGGAGUGGUUGGGCAGGUUCUGAAGGAGUGGUUGGGCAGGUUCUGGAGGAGUGGUUGGGCAGGUUCUAAAGGAGUGGUUGGGCAGGUUCUGAAGGAGUAGUUGGGCAGGUUCUACAGGAGUGGUUGGGCAGGUUCUAAAGGAGUGGUUGGGCAGGUUCUAAAGGAGUGGUUAGGCAGGUUCUAAAGGAGUGGUUGGGCAGGUUCUAAAGGAGUGGUUGGGCAGGUUCUGAAGGAGUGGUUGGGCAGGUUCUGAAGGAGUGGUUGGGCAGGUUCUGAAGGAAUGGUUGGGCAGGUUCUGAAGGAGUGGUUGGGCAGGUUCUAAAGGAGUAGUUGGGCAGGUUCUAAAGGAGUGGUUGGGCAGGUUCUAAAGGAGUAGUUGGGCAGGUUCUAACGGAGUGGUUGGGCAGGUUCUGAAGGAGUAGUUGGGCAGGUUCUAAAUGAGUGGUUGGGCAGGUUAUAAAGGAGUGGUUGGGCAGGUUCUGAAGGAGUGGUUGGGCAGGUUCUAAAG
ensembl:lncRNA